rnacentral:rRNA from 1 species
AGUGGCGGACGGGUGAGUAACACGUGAGAAUCUGGCUUCAGGAUGGGGACAACAGUUGGAAACGACUGCUAAUACCCGAUAUGCCGAAAGGUGAAAGAUUUAUCGCCUGAAGAUGAGCUCGCGGCUGAUUAGCUAGUUGGUGGGGUAAGAGCCUACCAAGGCAACGAUCAGUAGCUGUUCUGAGAGGAAGAUCAGCCACACUGGGACUGAGACACGGCCCAGACUCCUACGGGACGCAGCAGUGGGGAAUUUUCCGCAAUGGGCGAAAGCCUGACGGAGCAAUACCGCGUGCGGGAGGAAGGCCCUUGGGUCGUAAACCGCUUUUCUUAGGGAAGAAACCCGACGGUACCUAAGGAAUAAGCCUCGGCUAACUCCGUGCCAGCAGCCGCGGUAAUACGGAGGAGGCAAGCGUUAUCCGGAAUUAUUGGGCGUAAAGAGUCCGUAGGUGGUUCAUCAAGUCUGCUGUUAAAGCGUGCAGCUCAACUGCAUAUAGGCAGUGGAAACUGUUGAACUAGAGUAUGGUAGGGGUAGGGGGAAUUCCCAGUGUAGCGGUGAAAUGCGUAGAGAUUGGGAAGAACACCGGUGGCGAAAGCGCCCUACUGGGCCAUAACUGACACUGAGGGACGAAAGCUAGGGUAGCGAAUGGGAUUAGAUACCCC